GACGAACGCUGGCGGCGUGCUUAACACAUGCAAGUCGAACGGAAAGGCUCUGCUUUUGUGGGGUGCUCGAGUGGCGAACGGGUGAGUGACAAGUGAGUAACCUACCCUUGACUUUGGGAUAACUUCAGGAAACUGGGGCUAAUACCGGAUAGGAGCUCCUGCUGCAUGGUGGGGGUUGGAAAGUUUCGUCGGUUUGGGAUGAACUCGCGGCUUAUCAGCUUGUUGUUGGGGUAGUGGCGUGCCAAGGUUUUGACGGGUAGCCGGUCUGAGAGGGUGACAGGCGACAUUGGGACUGAGAUAAGGCAGAGACUCCGACGGGAGGGAGCAGUGCGGAAGAUUGCAGGAGGGGCGGCAGGUUGAUGCAGCAACGCUGCGUGCGGGAUGACGGCCUUCGGGUUGUAGACCGCUUUCGCCUGUGACGAAGCGUGAGUGACGGUAAUGGGUAAAGAAGCACCGGCUAACUACGUG
rnacentral:rRNA from 1 species